rnacentral:tRNA from 1 species
GGGAAUGUGGCUUAGUGGUGGAGUGCUUGCCUUGCACACAUGAAGCCCUAGGUUUGAUUCCUCAGUACCA